UCCCUUGCCCACUAGGGACCGGAAGUUCCUCCCCGGAAGCGGAAGUAAGAGUGUGUGAGUCCUAAAGGAGUACGAAGGAGGCUGUUUUUGGUUUGGUUUGGUUUGCUGUUUUUUUUGUUGUGUUGUGUUGUGUUGUGUUGUGUUGUGUUGUGUUGUGUUGUGUUGUGUUGUGUUGUGUUGUUUUUUCCAGGAGAGUAAGUUAUAAGAUGUUGUAGUAUUUCUAUCUCUCUGAAACACCUGUCCCAGACGAGCUCCCGUCCCGGCCACUUCUUUGGUUUCAGCUGGAGGCUCUGAGGUUAAAGCUCUAAGGCUUUGAAGCUGUGCCUAUUCCUUAAAAUUUAUGUUAACGAUGCAGAACUGUAAGGCACUGGUGGGGUCUUGUGCAGGUAUUUAUUUUCACCUGUAUAGCGAGUUGCUGUGAAGUGGGCCUGUUUGCCUGAAAAAAUCAGAAAGUCGAGCUACUUACCUCGUCCUUGCAGACACCUGAGAAAGGUGAUUCGUGCAUUAGAAAUGGCUCUGUCAGUUGUUACACAAAAAUAAAAAUGUUUGUGUUUAACACACUCAAAACAACCUGUUUGCAAAUUGGUUAUUAUUUUCCUCCCUAAUUUGGGGGAAACUCAUGUACUUAAAGACCUUGUUUCAUUCAUUGACAAGUAUUCAGUUUAAUUUGUAUGAAAGCUUCUAUUUAUGCAAAACAGGUUAAAACCUGGCAUUUUAAACUUUUUGUUUCUGGAAAGUGGAGACAUUUAUGCUCCUUGUAAAUCAUAUUACCUUGGGAUGCAGGAUAGUUGUCAGGCGCCCAAGCAGAUGUUGGCUUUUGCACUUACUAGCAGCAUACCUAGAUUCCAUCUUAGCUUUUUACUUUUUAAAAUAGGGAUAAGGUAUCUCAUAUGUUAUAUGAAAUAAGUGGAUAAAUAAACGUAUGUAAAGAAUUCAGUAUACUUUCUAGCAUAUGGAAAAUAUUAAUGAAAAGGGGAUAUUUUCUUACCUGAAGAAGGCACUUUGUGGCAAUUUUGUACAAGACUAACGCUUUCUGACUUUUUAAAACAUGAAUUUUAGUCACUUGUAUUUUAGGAUAGUUCGAAAUAUGUAGUUCCUGAGUGUAUUUCAAAUACAGUUUUAUGUAAAGGAAUGAUUAGCUAAUUAAAAUAAUCUUUAAAGCCAUCUAUGUUACAAAUAAAAGGAAUUUAUACUUUAUUUUCGAUUUUAGCACCCUUUACAAUAGUUCAAGGUAAUUUCUUUAAAUGCCCAUACUAUAUCCAUAACUUUCUUCAUUUUUAUUCUCUGUAGAAUCCUUUUAUCCCACAGUACAUAUUAAAUCUUAGCUAUUCUUCAAGGUAGAGCAUGUAUGACACAUUGUAAUAAAACUAAAUCUAAUAUCAUUUAUGAGUUUAAUAGUACUUAUCUCUAACCUUCUUAUGACAAUUGUAAAUCUUGCAUUUGCAAAGAAUUAUUUACUUUUCUCCUGAGACACUAACAUGGAUGUCAAGGAUUUGUCUUAUGCCUGGCUGUAGCAUAGAGCUUUGAACCACAGUGUGUCUCAGUAAGGACUUGGUGAAAGAACAAAACUUGUAUAUACUGAAAGUUAAAAGCUUCAUUGUCAGUGUGACCCCAUGUUACAGGUUGUCAUCCUAACAGUCAGAAACGUCACAUCUUUGAGCCCUUCUUAGGCCAUUUAGCAAUCUAGUGAGACUAUAUCAACAUUUUUUUUUUUAAAGCGCGGUAACUGGAGGUAUCAUUUAGUGUGAAGGCACUGGUUCAUCCUCAGUACAAGGAAAAAUAAUUCUUUUUACUGUACUUUCAACACAAUAAGAUCAGGGGAUAUAGUACUGACUGUUUCUCUUCAAAUGUCUAAAUUUACAUACUGGUGCCAAUUUCUGUAAUUCACAUUCUGAAAGAUGAGGAAGCCAUAUUCAUAGAGCCCAUAAGUGGCAGACCUGUAAAUUGAGAGGUGUUCAUCUAUUCUUUGAAUUAAUGUAUGGAAAUAGAAAUGGUAUGUUAUACUGUAUAUUAUUUGUUUUCUUUCCAUUAAUGUACACAGUUAUAGAUUUGGUUAUCUGUAUAGAUACAGAGAAAAUUUGUACUUUGCACAAAUAUUUUUAAAAACAGAAAGGUUAUUGGUUUGUGAUUUUUCAUAAUUUGUAGCUAAAGUGAAGCUGGCCAAAAUCUUGAGUAGACAUCUCUGUGGCUGGCCUUUCCAUCUUUCCAUUAUAUUCCUUAUUUGUUUUGUUUUAGUUUUUUAAUUAACAGGACAGUUUUAACAAGAAAUAUGUGAUGUUAAAUUAUUCAUUGGCUUAAUUAUUAUAAUAUUUAAAUUGUGAAUUUUCUUUUAUAGUAGAAUUGAAAAUUAACAUCCACUUAACAUUUUCUUAGUAAUUUUACAGUUAUGUACCACUUAACAGCAACAAAAUUACUUAUUAUUAAACCCUAAUGCUAUUUAUUUUCCUCUCUUGCCCCCUGAUUUCCUACAAAAUGAAAAUAUAGCAGCUUUUUAAUCCAGUUCCUAACAGCUACCACAGUUCUCCAGUUGGAAGCCCUCAACCCUUGAUUUAGAAUACAGAUUUGCAUUACCUCCUUAUGUAGGAGAAAUCAAAUCUUUCAAACUCCCAUCCUGCAAUAAUCAGUAAGUUCUAGGCAGCUCAUUAAACACGUGUAUAGUAUUUUUUUUCUUCAGUUUUUAUUUUUAUUAGUAUUUUUGCUGUAUAUAAAGAUUAUAUUCAUUGGGGGGAAUUGAUGCAUGCACAUAACACAUCUCAGUUCUUUUUCAACACUUCCCCAUCCCUUCUCCAUCUGUUGAUCCCCUUCUUACUUGAGAAAGACUUAUCCUCAUAUUAUUAAUAAAACUCAUUUAUACAACCUAUUUGCAAUAACAGCACAAACCUGUCAAAAUUAAUGAACAUCUUUUGCAUCAUUCUAAUUCUGACCCAUCAAGAUAAUUCUACUGACCACAUCAAGUCCACCCUGGUCAGACUCAAGUAUAUCAUGGUGCAUCAUUUCCCAGAAUAUUUCCCGCUGACACUAAUAUGUAGUGGAAAAGAUUUUCUGCCAUUAAAUUCUAGAUUAAGUAAACAAAUUGUUCACUGCAACUCUCCAGUAAUGCAAAUGGUAGCCAAUGUUAAAAGUCACACCUCUAAUUUUGUUCACUGGAUUCACAGAGGUUAUGUUCUGAAAAAUGCUGCUAGAGAAAUCAGUGGGUAGUAGAAUAAACUUUUUAAUGAAAUUAGUCUGAAUAUUGCUUCUUAUGCACUGUAACUAUGGGUAUAUCACUUUAACUAGGCAGAGUUUAUUUUUCUCAUCUGCAAAUCAACAUGAAUAAAUUCAAGUAAUUUCUUAAAAUUUACUCCAGAUCCUGUCCCUUCUAUGGUGCUAAAUAGUGACUGUCUUAUAUUUAAAAUAUAUGGAAAUUAUUGGAGUAAAGAAUUGUGAGAAAGAAUAUGGAGUCAAAAACUUAGCAUUGUUCUUCACUAAAACAUUAUAAAAGAAAUUAUUUGCUAUUUAUCCCUUGGGUUAAUAUUAUAGAAUGAGAACAGCAAAUUCCAACUUGCAAGGUAUUAAGAAAGCUUCUAAUAUUUGCAUACUUCGUUGUUCACGGGAACCUUAAACUACAUCUGUGCUAAGUCAACUGCAUCCUUUUCCACAAAACCUGCUUCAUUCUUAGUUCUUCAUAUACCAGUGAAUAGCACCAUCAUAUACAAUUAACCAUGUUCUUUUGUAUUCUCAACUAUGAUAGAAUGAAUAAAGUGGAUAGAGUCAAUCUCUUUGAUGCUUGGCUGAUUAUGCAGGGCUGAAAACAUUGUUUGAUUCCAAGGUCUAUGACCUUAAUCUCUGUGCUCAAUACUACCUUGCUGUAAACAAUAAAACCAUUCAAGAUAACAGAAGCUAGUAAAGUUUCUUAAGCCAUGGAGUGAAAAGAUCAUGUUUGUAUUUUUUGUGAGAACUGGCAGGAAGCAUUGAAGACAGUGAUUUAAGAUAAGAGAGUCUGUAAGUGACUAAACCAGUUAGAAAGUGACUGCAGUGGUCUAUGAAAAGAUGCUUAGGGCUUAAUUAGAGCAGUAGCAGUGGUAAUUUCAUAAAGGGGCAUAUUUCACAUUUUAGAAGUUGAAUAGGUAAGACUUGGAGAUUUACAAAUAAGAUAAUAAAAAGUAGUAUUAUUUCUGGCAGGAAUCUCAGGAGGUCAAUUUGUAGAAUGAGGAAGAUGAUCUGCACUUGUGUCUGAUUUACUGGCUAGAAGAACGCUGACACUUUAUGGAUUUUAAAUGUCCUCCAGUAGCACACAUGCUGAAGACUUGUUGUUGGAAGGUGAUAGAACCUUUAAGAGGCAUGGCCCAUGGAGAGGUGCUUAGGUCAUUGAGAGUGUGUCCUUGAAGGUCACUGGGACCCCAGUCCAUUCUAUUGAUACACGGCCAUGAGAUGAGCAGUUUGCUUUGCUACAUGCUCCUGCCAUGAUGUGCUGCUUUACCAAAGAUCCAAACACUACAGGACUACUAGAGCCUCUUCAACUGUAAGUCAAAAUAAAUAUUUUCUUUUUCUGAAGUUGAUUUAGCUCAGAUAUUUUCUAUAACAAUGGAAAAAUUGAAGUUAUUCAGAUUCACUUGUUUCAGAGUUGUUGUUGGAAUAAGCUCAAACCCAGCCUCAGUAACUUAGUAAGAACCUAUCUCAAGAUAAAAACUAGAAAGAUCUGGCACUAUAGCUUUAGUACUAAAGUGCUUGCCUAACAUUGCAAAAUGGUAGGUUUGCUACUAACACACAGACAAGGAAGUGUCUGAUCAGUAAGUUCCUGUUUCAGUUAGUGUCAUGAUCAUCAGCAUGAUUGCUGCCCAGGGAGAAGACCAUGUCUGCUGAAGAAGGAGUGGCUUCUGCCCUGGACAUUUCGUGGAUUUUGAGCUUUAAAAAGCAGGCUUAGGUUGGACUAGGGCGUAUACAGAUAAAUGGACAGACGGAGACCUGGCUCACCAUAGUACUUUCCAAAGCAAAUUAUAGCAAAGUCUCAAGACUGCUUCCAUUUUCUUGAUUUUUUUGUUUUUCAAAUAUAGUAUUAUAAAAAGCUCAAACAUGAAAAAAACAAACUGAGGAAUCUAAUAAAUUUGUCACAUAUUUAGUAAGUAAAUCUUAUUCCAUGUGAGUUUUGUUUUUAUUUAUUAUGUUUGGUACUUGGUGUGCAUUGACAACUAGGGAUUCAUUUCCUUCCUUAUUGGGGAGUUUCAUCUCAUUUUAGUACAUUUUAAAAUAUAGACUACAGAUAUAAAUAUUUACCACUAAUCAUUUCAAUGUGCAUCUCUAAAAAUUAAAACAUUUUUCUGUAUUACUACAACAUUACUUUUUUAUUUAAAGGAAAAAAAGAUAAAAAGGGUAGAAACAAUACAGAAUUUCAGAAAAAUAAACAGUAAGAAAUCACCAGUUGAUAAAUUACAUACCGUCAUCUUAGAAAUAGUUGCUUGAAUUACAAAAUUAAAGCAUACAAAGUGAUAGUCAAACAAUGACACUGCAAACAGUUCUGCUCAAGCAUCCAACAAGAACUUAGUAAUAUGGUUAUCAGUCCUACACACUUGUUUUUUUAUCUUAAAGAGGGUAAGAUUAAAUACAGCAAAACAGAACCAUUAGUACUUGUUUUCAGGACAUAAUGAUAACAUUCAUUGUGCACAUUUGAUACAUAUUUAUAUCACAUCUCUAUUUUUCCCCCUUCCCCUCUACUCCCAUUAACAUGUUUUUGGCCACUGUUAUAGAUUAAAAACUGGUGGUCAAUUUAACACCAGCAGAAUUAAAUCACCAUGUUGCUGAAUGUAAGAUGUUCCACCUGAGGAAAGUUGCCAUCAUAGAGACAUGGAGAAGUAGAAGGAGGCAUUGAGGCGUGGAGGCAUUGUGGGACCUCCUAUGUGUUGCUGUUUGAGCUGCUGGGUCUCCUGGAGAAACUCUGGUCCUUACAUAGAGCAUUGCUUCCUGGCUCUGGAGGGGAAGACGUAUGUCACUUAAUCUCCAGGAUGAACUUGUCACACUGGCUUCCUGGCAUGUACUUGACUGUGCUUGUUGUCACGGGAGCUCAGAGCCUCUGUGUCACUGAGGAUGGCUGUGGUGCUUUUCAAGACAUCCCCGGUCUUUUUUUUUUUUUUUUUUUUUUUUUUUUUUUUUUUUUUUUUGAGUGUGACUUCUUGGCUCCAGUGUAGAACCAUCAGCCUAUCAGCACAGCUCCUUCACCCUGCUGGCAUAGACUUCCUAGCUUCCACCACUGACCUCGGGCCUUCCCAACACGGAUCCAUAAAAGAGACUGGCGUAAAUCCUUCUGGUGGGCUCUAGACCUCCAGAUGGACUUCUGGGAGGCAUUGUCAUGAGCUCUGGGUCUUCAUCUGGACUCAUGUGGGACAUUGCUGUGGGAUUCAGGCCCUUGGCACAACACUAUGUCUUUAUUGUUGUGGAUAGAUUUCCUACGUUUUCUUGUGUUAACUCUGGGUGACCAUCAUAAAAUAACAUAAACUCCAUGUCCUGAUUCUAAUUGUUCUGUGCACAACCGUGGAGUACAACAGCCACCAUCAGAUUUAGUUACUAUGAAUUGUGCCCUUAUAUGCAGGGGUAUGGAUGAUGCAUUACAUGUAACAAUAAUAAUUUCCUAAAAUAAUAUCUAUCUUCACUCUUCUCCAUUGAAUUCCAUGUGCUUUUUAAAGUUAGUUUCAGGCCACAAUUCAAUAAUUGACAGUAUAUGACAUUUCUCUACAAAAUAUAAGAAUGUGGAACGUUCCUCUUAGUUUUUUUCCCCUCUUAAUAUUAAUAUGUUGGAGAAACUGGCUCAGUUUUCCUUCAAUAUAUUCAAUUUUACAAACAAGCAUGAUUAUUUUCCAGUUUGGGUUGUGUAAUACUCUAGAUUUUGAGGCUUUUUUUCUUUUUCUUGAAAAUGUUCUGUAAUUUUGAAGUUUGUAUAUAAGUGUUUAUAUUAAUUUGAAUGAAAUAGUUACCAAAACGCUUACAAAAAUAACUUCAAACUAAUGCUGUCAAUUUUUUACUGCACCGUAUCAAAAGUGGGUAACUUUUAAGAGCAUUGUUAGAAUGGAUCAGGGGAGUAAGACUGUCACAGUGAGUAAUGUAUAGACUCUAAGUUGCCCUGUGUCAAUGUAAUCAUCUGUUACCCUUUUACUUAACGGCUACAUAGUCAUUGAAACUUCUUGUAGUCAUUUACUACAUUGGGAGUUGUACAGUGAUCACCUUUCAUUUAUUGUUUUUUUUUCCUAACUCUUUGAGUUUGGUAGUUAAUUCAUUAUUUUUCAAAUUUUUAAUGCUUUCUAAGAUAGCAUUUAGUGCUAUAUAAUUUCCAUCUAAGAUUCGUAUGUAUUUUGAUAUAUAAUAUUUUCAUAAGUAUUCAAUUUUAAUAUAUUUAAUGGUUCCUAUUAUUUUUCUUCCUAGACUCAUUAGUUGUUUCUAAGUACUAGAUUUAUAGGGAGGAUACUGGGACUCGGACUCAGGCCCUUAGGUGUGCCAGACAGGGGCUGUGCCACUGACCUAUAUCCCCGACCCUUAGAUUUUUCUAUAUCAGACAUUGCUUUUACAUAUUGCUAUAUUGUAUGUUAGAUCCCUACACAUUUGGAAAUGUUAUAUUUAUCUGAAAACUUACUGCUUUUAUCUGUAAUGUCAUACCAGAAUAAACAGUGAUUGUGUUUGUU